rfam:Myotis davidii contig193123, whole genome shotgun sequence.
GGCUGUUUUCGAGUGACACACCCCAGAAUCGAGCUUCUUCCUCUCUGGUUCUGGGUGCACUACUGGAGAAAUGCA